rnacentral:misc_RNA from 1 species
AAGUCGUAACAAGGUUUCCGUAGGUGAACCUGCGGAAGGAUCAUUACUGAAUUCCAAGGAGCAGAGGAGUGAAGGGAUUCUCCAGUGCUUCGGAGUGCUGUCGCUGGCCUUUGGCAUGUGCACGUCUCCGGAGUCCGACGGGUGUCCCUUCGUUCUCCGAAACUCCAUACCUCUCGAACACCUCUGUGCACCCGUUGUAGGUCUCGUCGGUGGGACCUAUGUAUUCAUUAAGCUCGCAUGUAUACAGAACGUCGUCUAGUCGCGUCGUCCGGCCCAGCGUCGGCGACCGCAUUAUAAUAUAUAACUUUCAGCAACGGAUCUCUUGGCUCUC